rnacentral:rRNA from 1 species
UCUUCGGACUUUUCCUAGCGGCGGACGGGUGAGUAACACGUGGGCAACCUGCCUGGUAGAGGGGGAUAGCCUUCCGAAAGGAAGAUUAAUACCGCAUAACAUGAUUUCAGGGCAUCCUGAAAUCAUCAAAGGAGCAAUCCGCUAUCAGAUGGGCCCGCGUCCCAUUAGCUAGUUGGUGAGGUAACGGCUCACCAAGGCAGUGAUAGGUAGGCGGCCUUAACGGGUGGUCGCCCACACUGGGAUUGAGAUACGGCCCAGACUCCUACGGGAGGCAGCAGUCGAGAAUAGUCUACAAUGGUCGAAAGACUGAUAGUGCGACGCCGCGUGAACGAAGAAGCCCUUCGGGGUGUAAAGUUCUUUUAUAUGUGAGCAGUGGGUUCCAUAUGAAUAGUAUGGGAUCAGAGAUAUUAGCAUAUGAAUAAGCAACGGCUAACUCCGUGCCAGCAGCCGCGGUAACACGGGGGGUGCGAGCGUUGUCCGGAAUUACUAGGCGUAAAGGGCAGGCAGGCGGAUCUAUAAGUUUUUCGUUUAAGGCGUCAGCUUAACUGGCGUACGGCGGGAGAUACUGUAGAUCUGGAAUGCGGUUGGGGAAGACAGAAUUCCUGGUGUAGCGGUGGAAUGCGCAGAGAUCAGGAGGAAUACCGAAGGCGAAGGCAGUCUUCCAAGCCGUCAUUGACGCUCAACUGCGAAGGUGUGGGUAUCAAACAGGAUUAGAUACCCUGGUAGUCCACACAGUAAACGAUGAUCACUGGGUGUCGGGUUCGAAGAGGAUUCGGUGCCGUAGCUAACGCGAUAAGUGAUUCGCCUGGGGAGUACGAUCGCAAGGGUGAAACUCAAAGGAAUUGACGGGGGCCCGCACAAGCGGUGGA